GACGAACGCUGGCGGCGUGCUUAACACAUGCAAGUCGAACGGAAAGGCCCUGCUUUUGUGGGGUGCUCGAGUGGCGAACGGGUGAGUAACACGUGAGUAACCUGCCCUUGACUUUGGGAUAACUUCAGGAAACUGGGGCUAAUACCGGAUAGGAGCUCCUGCUGCAUGGUGGGGGUUGGAAAGUUUCGGCGGUUGGGGAUGGACUCGCGGCUUAUCAGCUUGUUGGUGGGGUAGGGGCUUACCAAGGCUUUGACGGGUAGCCGGCCUGAGAGGGUGACCGGCCACAUUGGGACUGCGGUACGGCCCAGACUCCUACGGUGGGCAGCGGUGGGGAAUCUUGCCCAGUGGGCGGAAGCCUGAUGCGGCAGCGCCGCGUGCGUGAUGACGGCCUUCGGGUUGUGAACCGCUUUCGCCUGUGACGAAGCGUGAGUGACGGUAAUGGGUAAAGAAGCACCGGCUAACUACGUG
rnacentral:rRNA from 1 species